rnacentral:misc_RNA from 1 species
CGCACAUUGCGCCCCUUGGUAUUCCGGGGGGCAUGCCCGUUCGAGCGUCAUUUCACCAAUCCAGCCCGGCUGGGUGUUGGGCCCCGGGGGUGACCCGGGCCUCAAAGUCGUCGGCCGUGACGGUCCCGAAACGCAGCGUCGUGAUUAACCAAUUCGCUGGCGGGACGGGCGUCGCGCGCCGGAACACUUUACUCAAGGUUGACCUCGGAUCGGGUAGGGAUACCCGCUGAACUUAA